rnacentral:rRNA from 1 species
AGUGAACGCUGGCGGUAGGCCUAACACAUGCAAGUCGAACGGCAGCACAGUAAGAGCUUGCCCUUACGGGUGGCGAGUGGCGGACGGGUGAGGAAUACAUCGGAAUCUACUUUUUCGUGGGGGAUAACGUAGGGAAACUUACGCUAAUACCGCAUACGACCUACGGGUGAAAGCAGGGGAUCUUCGGACCUUGCGCGAUUGAAUGAGCCGAUGUCGGAUUAGCUAGUUGGCGGGGUAAAGGCCCACCAAGGCGACGAUCCGUAGCUGGUCUGAGAGGAUGAUCAGCCACACUGGAGCUGAGACACGGUCCAGACUCCUACGGGAGGCAGCAGUGGGGAAUAUUGGACAAUGGGCGCAAGCCUGAUCCAGCCAUACCGCGUGGGUGAAGAAGGCCUUCGGGUUGUAAAGCCCUUUUGUUGGGAAAGAAAAGCAGCAGGUUAAUACCCCGCUGUUCUGACGGUACCCAAAGAAUAAGCACCGGCUAACUUCGUG